CAGCUGGUAGUCUAUAUUAGGAUAUAUGCUUUGGGGGCAUGGGGACAGUUUAUAUUGUCGGCUGA
rnacentral:tRNA from 1 species